CAAAAAGGCUAGAAAAAAGGAUGCUGAUGAAGAACCAAGGAUGACCAAAGGUGCAACACUUAGGUGUGGGAUCUGUCGAACUUUAGGACAUAACAAGAGACGCUGCCCACAAAAUCAUUCAAACAAUAAGAAUUAAAGGAGAGGAGAAGCUUCAUCAGCCCCAAUAAGUUAGACAUGUCAACAUUGAAGCAAUUGUCAAGGGUAGCAGAACUUAAGGAGUGUGGAGUUGAAGCAUGCUGUUGUUUUUGGGUGUGAUAAAACUAUAGAAGCAUGAUGAUGGUUUUUUUUUAUGUGUGGAGUUGAAGCAUGCUGUUGUAUUUUGGUGAAAUUUGGGGAAGUUGUACAUAUGACUUUGUUUGUUAGUCUUGGUGUGCAAAUAUGGUGUGAUAAUAUUGUACAGAUAGCAACUGAUUUAGGUUGUCUAUUGUGAAUGUUGUAAUUGAUUUAGGAUUGCUAC